GGGCUUGGCCACGAAAUUUCAUCUGUGAAAACACAUUUUUUUGUAUUCCCAAAUACCAUAACUUCUCUUAUCUGCUGAAGAUGAGGUGAAUCUAUCAUUUGGAUUUCUUGUGCUGUUUUGGCCCUUCGCUCAGAUAUCCUGUGGAUAACAGUCGCUCUCUUCUUGACAUUGUUAAUUUGUGCCUUGGCGAGGCACAGAUCGUCCAAAUUAAUAAUAUCUAAUUUCCUUUCCUUCCCUUGCACUUUUCGCUUAUUGUCUCUUGUCUUAUUUUCUUUCUUUCUUUGUUUCUCCUCCCCUUCUUUGGUAUUCUCUUUGAUUUGUCCAUUUCUAUUCAGGAGAAAAAGAUGUAUUAUACCCACCACCAGCAUCUCCUUCCUUGUUUGCAUUGCCACCCACAUAGCUACAUUAGGAUGGUAAGUUCAUUCAUCAAUAACCCUUUACACCCUCUAUCCCUCUCCAAUGCCAUCCCGGCCGGCCGCCAUAUCUAACCAUUGAUCACUUGUGUUUUUUGCAUGCAUUUGUGUGUGUGUAAAACAGGUUCACCAUCUUAUAGAGAGAUGCCUGCUCCUUCACAUGAGCAGAGACCAAUGCAUUAAGGCACUAGCAGAACAUGCCAACAUUCGGCCUCUUGUUACACUUACAGGUCUUUUUUUUAUUCUUCUUCUUCUUUGAGUAACGUUAUUAUACGUGUGUGGGAAGACUGCAACCAGUGGAGUUAUGCUUGCAGUGUGGAGAGAACUACAAAAAGAAAAUAAGGACUUCUUUCAUGCAUAUUUCCGUUCUACUUCUUUCAGGCCUUUCCCAAGUAAGACAUUAAACUAAUUUGCACUUCUCUUUUUCCUUAUAAUUUGUUUGCUAGCUAUAUAUGAUCAUGGUAUAUUUUGUGCUAACGGCAUAUGUGUCUCUCUUGUUGAUUGUAUAUUUUUAUUUAAUAAGAUGAGUUCCCCUUUUAUUUUUUUUUUCUUUGCAAUUUUCA
rnacentral:misc_RNA from 1 species